rnacentral:rRNA from 1 species
GAUGAACGCUGGCGGCGUGCCUAAUACAUGCAAGUCGAGCGGUAAGGCCCUUCGGGGUACACGAGCGGCGGACGGCUGAGUAACACGUAGGAACCUACCCCAAACUGAGGGAUAAGCACCAGAAAGGGUGUCUAAUACCGCAUGUGCUCUACGGAGUAAGGCUUCGGCGGUUUGGGAAGGGCCUGCGUCCGAUUAGCUAGUUGGUAGUAUAAAAGACUACCAAGGCGACGAUCGGUAGCUGGUCUGAGAGGAUGAUCAGCCAGACUGGGACUGAGACACGGCCCAGACUCCUACGGGAGGCAGCAGUAGGGAAUUUUCCACAAUGGGCGAAAGCCUGAUGGAGCAACGCCGCGUGCAGGAUGAAUGCCUUCGGGUUGUAAACUGCUUUUAUCUGUGACGAAUAUGACGGUAGCAGAUGAAUAAGGACCUGCUAACUACGUGCCAGCAGCCGCGGUAA